rnacentral:rRNA from 1 species
GAUGAACGCUGGCGGCGUGCUUAACACAUGCAAGUCGAACGAUGAAGCCCAGCUUGUUGGGUGGAUUAGUGGCGAACGGGUGAGUAACACGUGAGUAACCUGCCCUUAACUCUGGGAUAAGCCUGGGAAACUGGGUCUAAUACCGGAUAGGAGCGUCCACCGCAUGGUGGGUGUUGGAAAGAUUUAUCGGUUUUGGAUGGACUCGCGGCCUAUCAGCUUGUUGGUGAGGUAAUGGCUCACCAAGGCGACGACGGGUAGCCGGCCUGAGAGGGUGACCGGCCACACUGGGACUGAGACACGGCCCAGACUCCUACGGGAGGCAGCAGUGGGGAAUAUUGCACAAUGGGCGAAAGCCUGAUGCAGCGACGCCGCGUGAGGGAUGACGGCCUUCGGGUUGUAAACCUCUUUCAGUAGGGAAGAAGCGAAAGUGACGGUACCUGCAGAAGAAGCACCGGCUAACUACGUG